rnacentral:rRNA from 1 species
AUGAUAUGUUAUUUGAUAUUUAGAUUUUGUGUGCGUUCAUUGUAUUGUCAUGUGAGCCGCAGUGUGUUAUGCUCUAUGCUGAAUGGCCAGCACAGGUUCACACCCUGCUCCCCACUUAAUGUAAAAACAAAUGCAGACUUGGAUACUCCAGAUUUCAAGAAAGGUCAAGUCCAAUACCAAAAAUCUUUAAGAGGUACAUUCAUGUCACAGUUUCCCACGAAUUUGAUACAAGAUGGACACUUGUGUGCACCAAAAUCUAGAUUAUCAUGCAAUGCUGGAUGCAAAUAUGUAGCUCCAGGAAGAUUAAAGCACAAUAAUAUGCCAGUCAAAAGAAAAAUUCCUGCACCAACUUGUGGAUAUGUCACUCACUAG